rnacentral:sRNA from 1 species
GAUAGAUAGAUAGAUAGUUAGAUAGAUAGAUAGAUAGAUAGAUAGAUAGAUAGAUAGAUAGAUAGAUAGAUUAUACUGCAACUAACAAGAAUUCGCCACCCAUCCUUCCAAUAAAAGUGUAGGAAGCACCUUUGUCUAGCAAUAGUAAGGUGAAUUAUGAGAUGAUAUAACAUUGAUCUGAGAGUGUAGUGAACACA